UUUCCUGCCACUGUCUCCUUAGGGCUGCUCUGGGGUUCAGGCAUAUGGGUUCUGUAAAGCGUCUUGAGACAAUUUGACUGCAAUUGGCGCUAUAUAAAUAAAAUCGAACUGAAUUGAAAAUAACUUUAUUCGGACCGGAAGUCGGCGUGACCAAGAUGGCAGCUUAGCGGCGGAGCUCCGACACCGUGUUUUAACCUUUUUUUUUUUUUUUUUUUUUUUUUUUUUUUAAAGAAACCCUUAUAACUGCUAUCAUCUCAUAAGAAAGAAGUGACAAGGUCAUCCCAAAACCACUAGGCGGAAAGCAGUGUGAACUUUUCAGGUGCUAACCCAAUCCAGUUGAGCCCUCCGAGCAGCUCAGAUGCUAACACGGCUAGUGCUAAUAUGGCUGCCAUUGAAGAAGAGUUGUGCGAACUCAGGUCACAAUUUAGAACAAGAUUCGAUGUCGUCGACCAGAAGCUGGUGGAUAUGACAAACAUUCUCACAACACUGAAGGACACAGUUAAAGAGAUAAAACAAGACGUGGUGAGCAACACAGCCCACAUCGACCAGGCUGAGACCCGCAUUGAUGAGACAGAAACAGCCCUGAGAUCAGCCAUCAAACGAAUCUCUCUUCUGGAAGCAAAAACCGAAGACCUGUAGAACCGAGGUAGGAGGAAGAACUUGCGUAUCCUUGGAAUAAAAGGGAGCUGAGGGGACAGGGCCACUCACUGACUUUAUAAAGGAAAUGUUCCCAGCAUGGCUGAGGCUGUCACCGCAAAGACAUUGGCGUUAGAACGUGUUCACCGUACGCUGGCUCCCGGGAGACCGAACCAGAACAGCGGUAGUGGUGCCGUUCUCGCUGCUUCAAGAGAAGGAGUUUGUCUACCGGGAGAGUAGAAAGAAGGACAUGAAACACGACGGGCUAAAAAUCCCUUUUACUCAGGACCUUUCAGCAGAAACGGUACGUGCUCGGAGAGGAUUUCAACCCGUGAUAAAGAACUUUAUCGACAUCAGGGCCUUCCGGGUUUCAGUACAAUCCGUGCAAGCUCAGGAUUCUGUAUAAAGGCAAGAUUCACCUUUUUUCAACACUGCAGGAAGCCGAACAUUUCUACAAAGGAAUCCCGCAAGCAACGGCAGAUACCGAGACACGAACACUCACCUGGGUGUUGACGCUCAGCCAUUUGAACAAAAUCAGCAGCGUGACGCUCGAGUCGACAGUCGGCUGCAUCCUGGAGCUGCACAGGCGGACAGAUGGACCCAUCUGGUUCUGGAGGAUCCACUGAGGACCGACAUGCACAAAGUUCAACACAAUCAAAGUCCAGAUCCGGACCAGAGAUCCUCAGUCUGUCUCGCUGUGCCGCCUGCUACAACCAGAAGUCUGACUCCACGUAUCGGUGGAGGAACGGCGGUGAGUCCAGCUCUUCUGAUGAAGCUUCUGGACCAGAGAUGGAGUCGGACGCAGAGUUUAGCUCCAGCAGCAGCAGCACUGAGGAUGUUGUAGCAGAAAAACCUGAGAGGAACUCACCUGUACCUGGAGACAAUGCUGAGGAUGAACCUAGAGGACAGGAUGGAACAUCGGAGAACCAGGAUGAGGAACAAAUGAUUAAAGAGGCGAGACCAAGAGCUCCAUUCAUCAGGUCUGUGUCGCUACCGUCCUCCUUCACUCCUCCAUUGUCUCGCCAUGAGAGGUUCAUCUCCACCCUCCAUCUGAAGGUGUUGUCUCUGAGUGACGACGAGGACGCCGUCUACUCCAUCUGCAAGGCAGAGGAAAAGGAAACCAAAAGAAAAGGAGGCAGGCUCAACAGUCUGAUUCCUCCAAUGCCAUUUCAGCAGAACCAGAUGGGGUUACCGUGGCAACAGGGGUCACAACCUACAUUACAGCAACAACAACCAUCAUACCAGUACCAACAACUACUACCACAUCAACACCAGCACCACCAACAACCACAUCAGUACCAACAACUACCACCAUAUCCCUGCCAGUACCAGCCACAACCACAUCCCCUCCUACAACAAUUACCACAUCAACACCAGUACCACCAUCAACAACCACCAUAUCCCUGCCAGUACCAUCAACAACCACCAUAUCCCUACCAGUACCAACAACUACCACCACACUAGUACCAACAACACCUAGCCUAGUAUCAACAACACCUACACUAGAACCAACAAUACCUAGCCUAGUAUCAACAACACCUACACUAGAACCAACAACACCUACACCACUACCAGCAACACCUACACCACUACCAACAACACCUACACCAGUACCAGCAACACAUACACCAGUGCCAGCAACACCUACACUAGUACCAACAACACCUACACCACUACCAACAACACCUACACCACUACCAACAACACGUACACCACUACCAACAACUCCUACACCAGUACCAGCAACACCUACACCAGUACCAACAACACCUACACCACUACCAACAACACCUAC
ensembl:lncRNA